GUUAUUUAAAAUACACUUCACCUUAAUGUGAAGUUACUUAAAAUACACUUCACCUUAAUGUGAAGUUACUUAAAAUACACUUCACCUUAAUGUGAAGUUACUUAAAAUACACUUCACCUUAAUAUAAAGUUACAUACAAAAUAUGUAAAACUACUAGUCAAUUCUUAAGUUCAACUGCUAGAAUGUGGUAUAAAAAAAAUUUGAUAUCAAAAAGGAGCACACAAAAGUAUUUUUCAAAGAUAGUUAAUUGAAGAAGUUAUUAUCAAACUUACAGCACUAAAUGGAGGUUAUGUGGUAUGAAAUAGAUGGAAGUUUUACCCUAUUGUUAACACCUCUAUUAUUUGAUCCACUACAUCUGAGUAUUAAUAAUUAUUACAAACUAGCAAUUCAGUUAUUUAAAAAUUUACAGAAGACAUGAGGAGUGACUUCACUCCUCGUGUCUUCUUUCCAGUUGUUACUAAUAAGUUGAAAGUGAUCUUAUUCCAAAAAUAAAAGUGUAUUUGCAAUCUAUCUUUAAAGUUAUUUUAAAAUUAUGUUACUUAUGUCUGUUAUUUUUGUCUGUCAUUCAAGUUAAUUUUACAAAAUGGACAAUAACAGUUAACUGUUGCCAGUUAUUCUCGAUGGAUUAUUCUUUUUUUUAAAUAAUGAAAAAAGCACUAAACAUAUUGCUAAAUGUGUUAAUUUUUCCAACAAUGAGCUCUCAGGAGCCAGAAACUCAACUAUUUUUUGCAGCAUUUGAUGGUUAGAUUUCAUUUCUUACUUUUUUAAUUUCAAAAAGUAAUCUAGUUAUUAUUUAAUUUAUUAUAAAAAUUUUAUAAUACAAUACAAUAUGCAAUUGCAGGCUCAAAGUAGCCCAGUACAGCAAUUGGCCUCAAAUAUAUCUUUAGUUUAUGUAAAAUAAUAAAUACUAAUAAUCGUAUUUUAGCGUAUUUUAUUCCUAUGCAAUUGAAAAAUAUAUUUUAUUCAAUGUAUAACAUUAUUAAUCAAUGAUCAAGGUGACAAUUUUGUUAAAGUUAAUAAUGUAUAGAUUUAGAAUCAGGGUUUGAAUUAGAUUAGAGUUUAAUAAUUAACCCUAACCCUGGUUGUUGAUUAAUAAUUAUAAAAUAGGUUAUUCAAUUGCAUAGAAAUAAAGUAUGCUAUAACACAAUUUUACUCAAAAUAGAGCUUAGUUAGAUUAGUAAUUUGCAGUGAAAGUUACGUAGAACAUUUUUUGCAUAUUUAGAUUAAACACAAAUCACUGGUCAGCGAAUAUAAAUUAUACAAAAAAAAAGUCUGUCAUUAAUAAACAAAAUAAAAAGUGCUGUCUUAGUAAAUAUGAAGGUAAAAAUACAAUUUAAACUGUUUUUAAGCUGUUUGUCACAUCAAAUCAGUCUAAUCAAAGUAAAAUUGACAGUUUGAUCGUAGACAUUAUCAAUUCUCACACACUUUCACACACUUAUGAUAGCUGAAGUAGUAUGUGAUCUAAACAACUUUCAUGAAUUUGACAAAAUUGUCACCACAGUCACUGACAAUGCAAGUUCUUUUUGUUAAGUUAUUUUCUAAGUAUAUGUUAGUUUAAGAUGACCCAGAGAUAACAAAGGAAGAACCGAAGGACAAUCAGAAACAGAAAAAUUUGCAGGUGGAAUAAUAAGUCCAAUUUGGUGGAUUAAUAACUAAUCCAAUUUGGUGGAUUAACCAGUAACAAACAGAAAGACAAUCAAAAAUAGUUAUAGAAGAAGUUUGUUAGAUAUUACAUAAUACAGAUAUUUCAAGUGUACAACUACCACUUCAUACCAGAUGUAUCUGCCACAGCCUGAAUCUUAUUGCCACAAAGAAUUCAAGAAAGUAUAUGGCCUAUGGCCACAUGUAUCAUGUUUGCAUGGAAAAAUGUCAAUUGUUAUGGAAUACUGUAAAUUGUAGCAGUAAGGUUGCUUAUAAAGUAGCUGACAUAUGUUAAUAAAAAGGUUUUGGUUCUGGUGCAAUUAAGAUGGAAUGCUAAGUAUGAUGCAAUUGCAGAAUUUUAGAAUUGAAAUAUAAAUUGAACUGAAAUGCAGAUGUCUUACAGCUGCUAAAGUUUACCAGAAAUAAAAUAGAUUUUUUGAUUGAAUACAAAAAUGCGAUGAUGCUGCGAUACUAGAUCAAUUGCAAGGAUUGUUAUUGUAUACUUUUGAAUUGAUUCAAUUAAGACAUAAAUUGUAGAAAAUGCACACAGAAGUUUGUGUGGUAAAAUCAGCAUGUUGUUUGUGUGGUGCUCUGAUAAAAUCACUUCUGUCAUGUUUAUAAAAAGAUUUGGAUAGUUUUUACCCUGAACAUUAUGAAAAUAGUGUUAGAGAAGUAGUGCUGGCUGCAGUGUCACAUCCAGAUUUCAAGUUAAAGUGAGUAGAACCAAUGUCUUGUGAUACUAUAACUUAGCUGUCAAUUAGUUCAGCAACAGCUGAUUAUCAAAUAACUUAGUAACAUUAACAAUCAGUGAUGAGGUUAUGGUUAUGGUGAUUCAACAGCACCAUCACCUGUUAACAAAUCCAUACAAAUGCAGGUCUUUUCCUACUCGUCAAAUUGUUUCAUGAUAAAUCAUCUCAACAUCAAUCCUUUCCAAAAUCAAAAAAUCAAAAAAAGUCUUCAUUCGAUACAGUACAGCAAUUCCUUCAUCAGCUGUGGAGCGCCUUUUUAGUAUUGCAGGCUUCAUAGAGACAUCUAGAAGAAACAGACAUUCAGAUGAUAUUUUUGAAAAGUUAACAUUAAAAAAACUAAACCAAGACUCACAUUGAA